rnacentral:rRNA from 1 species
GAUGGGGGGUGCUUUUGAACCUGGCUCAGGACGAACGCUGUCGGCGUGCCUAACACAUGCAAGUCGAGCGAAGUGCUUACAACAGAUUCCUUCGGGAUGAAGAUGUAAGUAUCUUAGCGGCAAACGGGUGAGUAACGCGUGAGGAACCUGCCUUUCACAAAGGGAUAGCCUCGGGAAACUGGGAUUAAUACCUUAUGAUACUGAUAUAGCGCAUGCCAUAUCAGUCAAAGCGCAAAGCGGUGAAAGAUGGUCUCGCGUCCCAUUAGCUAGUUGGUAAGGUAACGGCUUACCAAGGCUGCGAUGGGUAACCGGCCUGAGAGGGUGAACGGUCACACUGGAACUGAGACACGGUCCAGACUCCUACGGGAGGCAGCAGUGGGGAAUAUUGCACAAUGGAGGAAACUCUGAUGCAGCGACGCCGCGUGAGUGAUGAAGGCUUUCGAGUCGUAAAACUCUGUCCUUGGGGACGAUAAUGACGGUACCCAAGGAGGAAGCCCCGGCUAACUACGUGCCAGCAGCCGCGGUAAUACGUAGGGGGCGAGCGUUGUCCGGAUUUAUUGGGCGUAAAGGGUUCGCAGGCGGCCAAAUAAGUCAGAUGUGAAAGCCCACGGCUUAACCGUGGUAAGCAUUUGAAACUGUAUGGCUUGAGUUAAGGAGAGGAAAGUGGAAUUCCUAGUGUAGCGGUGAAAUGCGUAGAUUUUGAAAUUCCGGUGGCGAACGCGACUUCUCUGGACUUAUACUGACGCUGAGGCACGAAAGCGUGGGGAGCAAACAGGAUUAGAUACCCUGGUAGUCCACGCCGUAAACGAUGAGCGCUAGGUGUCGGGUGUCAAAGCUCGGUGCCGCAGCUAACGCAUUAAGCGCUCCGCCUGGGGAGUACGUACGCAAGUAUGAAACUCAAAGGAAUUGACGGGGACCCGCACAAGCAGCGGAGCAUGUGGUUUAAUUCGAAGCAACGCGAAGAACCUUACCAGGACUUGACAUGCCCUUGACCGUUCUAGAGAUAGAACUUUAUCUUCGGAUACAAGGGACACAGGUGGUGCAUGGUUGUCGUCAGCUCGUGUCGUGAGAUGUUGGGUUAAGUCCCGCAACGAGCGCAACCCUUGUCUUUAGUUGCUAACAGUUAGGCUGAGCACUCUAGAGAGACUGCCGAUGAUAAAUCGGAGGAAGGUGGGGAUGACGUCAAAUCAUCAUGCCCUUUAUGUCCUGGGCUACACACGUGU